AAUCCGCUACCUCCCGCAUGGUCCCCCCGAGGGAGAAGCCGCAAGUCGCCCACCGGCUCCGCGGGGGUUACGCGGGACCCUGCGGCAUCCGCUGGUGCGCAGGGAAGUGUUUGCCGGGCCGGAGCUCCCCCCGGCCCCGCGGAGUUCGCGUCGGCCCCUCCGCUACCGGUGGAUGAGGGGAGCCACGAUCGCCACCCCCGCCGCAGCCGGAGCGGGGGACCAGGCUCCCCCUUCGCCGCGGGGGCAGGAUGGAGAGGAGCCCUAGCGCUGACGAUUACAUAAAUUGUGUGGCUCUUCCCUGAUGCUCCAUAAAUGGCCACUGGUCCCAAAUUAGCAUGUGGGUACUAUGAUUGAAGAAUAUGAAGUCCUUAGUUAUAAUGUUUGUAACCGAGUUCAACAGCAUUUAAAUAAAUUUCUUCUGGAUGAGACAGUUUAAAGACAUCUGUUGGGUUGGGUUAAGUAACUCUGGCCUUCGAAUGCAACUGCUCAGACUUUCUUCAAAACAGUAAAGUUCCUCUCUGUUAUAGA